GUCUUUGGCAUUCUUGCUUCUGUCUCCAGCAACCAGCAAGUUUAUACAAUGGAAAAUGCCCUCCAAGUUUUCCGUAGAAUAAAAGACAAAAGGAAAACUACUGGAGCUCUGGCAUAGGGGAAGGAGAACUGUACAGAGCUCCGAGCCUUCUUCAUGCCUAAGCUGCUGGGAGAGUGCCAGGCCCUGCCUUCAGCAGCACACACUGCCUGUACUUCCUUCUGGGUGCUGGUGCCCAGGAGCCGCGAUCUGAUUUGCUCAUUGUGCUUCAGUGAAGGGAAACCACAUGGAACCAAGUGCAUCUAGACUGGCAAAGCAUUCACCACUCUGGACUAGGGCCAACCGGGAGAGAAGCAAUGACCUCACUUUGGGGGCACGUUGAUAAGCAAAACUUUCACCAUGAAAAAUAUUCUCUCCAAAGUUAGUGCUGUUCUGUCUAAGCGAAAGGACGUAUCCUUCCUUUCUGUCAAUAAGUGAUAAGCUUCUGUGUGUGUGUGUGUAUAUAUAUAUAUAUAUACACUGAGCUGAAAUCUGUCCCUCCACAACUUCUAACAAUUCUGGGUGGUCAAGAUGAGAAACGGACCCUGGAUUCUUGCUCACCACAGGCAUGACCUUCGAAUAAAAUCAAGGCUACAUCUGGACUCGUCUUUCAAUCACGAAUUGGCUACAGGAUGAAGGUGGUUUCUGUAACCACAACGGCUCCAUUUCUGCCUAAAUAUGCAUCGAGAAAGGGGAUUUACCAAUCCAAACAUCAAUAGGAGCAGGGGAGAGGGAAACCGAUCAGUCUUGCUUUUUUGCUUCCCCUCCCCUCCCACCCCCAAUAAACAGGGGGGCU